UACGUAGGGGGCGAGCGUUGUCCGGAUUUAUUGGGCGUAAAGAGCGCGUAGGCGGCCCGGUAAGUCCGCUGUGAAAGUCAAAGGCUUAACCUUUGAAAGUCAGUGGAUACUGCCGGGCUAGAGUCCGGAAGAGGCGAGUGGAACUCCUGGUGUAGCGGUGGAAUGCGCAGAUAUCAGGAAGAACACCAAUGGCGAAGGCAGCUCGCUGGGACGGUACUGACGCUGAGGCGCGAAAGCGUGGGGAGCAAACAGG
rnacentral:rRNA from 1 species